UUGCCGACCCACUUAGGUGCAGGAAUAGUUUUUCCACUUCUGCCUUGUAACAUCUGCCUACUUACAUAGCUAUUAAAAUAACUUCAUUGCAUGCCCCAGUGUAGAGGAUUUAAUUUAAGAAUAGUGUGGUUACAUACACUAACUAACUGACUAAUGGACUGGUGCUUGCUAUGAAAAGUCUUAUUUAAGUAUAGAGGUGCCCUUUGUAUGUUGUCACCCCCCCAUGCAUGAGACUUUCAUAUGAGGUGCCUCUCUGGCUGAUGUCUAACGGGGUGAAAGUGGGUGAGCUGUGGUCUGAACCUGGGGCAGCUGGACCAAGCUCCACAAACACACUCCCAAUUGUUCCCUACUAUCAUGGGCUAAUGAGUGGGGAAGUAAUGGAAGUCAUAUGCCUGUGUGAUCACAUGGCAGGGUGACAGAAAAGGCUCUUGAUUUCACCACUGUGUGUUUGCUUGUUUACUUCACUUGAGUGCAUCUUGAAAUUCUACACAACCAGUGGGACACAAUGGUUUUGUUUUUUUUCUACACCUAACUCAACUCCUUGCAACAAAACGACCUAAGCCCAUCUCUAAGUACUUACUCCUCUUACAACCUAAGAUACGAUACUUCCACAAUGUAGUAAAAACAUGCUUACAUGUAUUUUCUUAACCUGUUGGGACAGAUGCUGUUAAGUAAGUAUAUUGUACAAGGACUUUUUUUUUAACUCCCAGCCGGUGGGAGUUACAGCAUAUUACUCCAGUAAUUUCCUGCAAUUGCAUGUUUAACCCUCAUAUGCUUAUUCCAGGCUACUAGUAACCUGUAACGCCCCUCCUCCCCCCAUUUCUCUUUAAUUUUUUUUUCCCACCCAUCACCUGUUUUGUUUGGAAUUAUUUGCUUGACAUGUAAAAUAUCCCAAUAUAACAACAUUUUAUUAUUUGGUUUUGAUCAAUAAAAUGUGAUGAUAAUUGGCAGUUUUAUGGCAGUUUGUAGAUCAGGUGUUUGAUAUAAAUUCCAAGUCACUAAUAACCUGAUGUAUGUACAAACAACAGCUGUGCAUGUCUUUAAAGAGGAUUAAAGAAACCUUAGCAAAAUUAAAAAUAGAGAGAUGGAAAAUAACAGCAGAUUGCUGUAGCAUAAAUAAUUCAUUACAAAGGUUCCAUGAAUAAUUAACCAUAAAUUACGUAUGUGUGUUACAGCUUAUAACAGUUUCCUAACAAAUAAAAUAUUUUGAAAACUCAUAUUAAAUAAUGCGCCAGUGCUUAGAGCACCUACAAUUACCUCAGAAAGGGUUCUAAUGGUUUCAUUAAAAUUAAUCUUAAUUUGUGCUCGAUCAUUGCUUGCCUAACGAUGUUGUGCGAUAAAUAAAAGGGUUACAGCACAGCCUAACCACGCGCUUGUAUUCUCUUUAGUCAUGUAUGGUAAUAUUUUGAGCCCUAUUUUCACAACUUGCCUUUACUCACACAGGAUACAUUAGCGGCGUAUUGCUAGGCGCGUGGUUGUUUCUCACGUGACUGAACAGGAAGUAACUCCAACAUUUCCACGGUCACUGUAGAAAAGAAAACAGAAGUGUGGUGAGGCGGACUCACUUAAAUACUGGAUAACCUUUUUUACUCGCUGUUUUAUUUUCUACAAUUAUUUACAAGUGUUCUUACUGAGUACUUAAAAAAGCAUCUUAAAAGACACUGGGAAAAUGAGAAACAUGAUCUUUAAAUGGCCACUCUGCCAAUCAGUGUUCUACAUGCUCUCUCAAAUUAGGUAUGCAUGUCUUGUCUUGUCUCUGGCUUACACACUGAAUCCAUAAAUCUGUUUAACAGAAUUAAACACUUUGAUGCCCCCUGACCAUGCAUUCACCACACAGAAAGAGCACUACAGUGACAAAGAAUGCAGACUACUGGCUGUGGAGUGAUCUCCUCACAGGAAAAGGAUGCAUGGAUCAUAAAAUUCAAGUCUUGCAAAACAUUCUUAGCAUUUUAAGUGAUCAUUUUCUUAAGAAUUUCUCAACCCCUUUGAUCUUUCAUCUAGCCAAGGGAGCAGACACUGAAAAUGUGUACUAAGGCCACAAAUAUCUAAGACCAUUACCUCAAACAAACUAAAAAGUUACAAGUUGUUAUGACUAGGGUACUGCUGGUAUGCCUUACUUUUGAAAUGAUCAUGUUUAUGCCAGUUCUGUGAGAAAUCAAUAUCUUCAAUAUCAAAUCAUACAAAGGUUUGAUUGAUUCAGCAACUAGUUUUUGUAGUAUUUGAAGUAUAGAACGAAAAGCCAGUAUGGUUUCUUCAGUUCAUCACUAAAUCUCUCUUUGAGAACUGCCUUCACAUAGCCUCCUUGCUUUUUGGAUGUACGGUCUACUGAAAUCUGCUGUGCCACUGGCAUGUAGCUAAUGCACGGUGGACUCAUGAUAGCCUCAGAAUAAUUCUGAUCAGCCUAAAUGCCAGAUCCCUACAUAUGACAAACUAAUGAACUAAUUGGUAACAUAUCUAUCAGUAACUAGAGACCCUGGUGUGGAACCUUCUUUAUAUAUAGGGAGCUCAUUAGAACAAGGCUUGUGAAGCCAGAGAAAAUAUGCUAUUACAAACCCAGCAAAUAAACAUUUAUUUCCUUUAUCUAA